rnacentral:lncRNA from 10 species
UUUCAGGUUAAGAUCAAUCUACAAGGAGAUAUAGUAGAUCGUGGAAGCACUAAUCUGGGAGUGAAUCAGGCCGGCUUCACCUUACACUCUGCAAUUUAUGCUGCACACCCGGACGUGAAGUGCGUGGUGCACAUUCACACCCCAGCAGGGGCUGUGGUGAGUGGCUGCCCUGGUAGCAUCUCAAGGUUAAAAAAAGAAAAGAAUCUGUGUUCAUAAAGCGACACCAUCACAUAGUGAAAAACAGACAAAAAAGAAACAGGCAAUAUCUGCAACACAU